AGUUGCUUUAUGACGCCGGGCGCGUGCGCAUUUAAAACAAUUCUCGAAAGAAAUGUUCACAAAUUAGUUUAAAUUCGAAAACGUUUCGGUAUGGACGCAAGAAAAAGGAAUUCUAAGAAAUAGAAAUUCUAAGCGAAACAACAACGAAAAAGGAAAAUAAUUUAAAUAGGGAUAAUAAUAUACAAAAACAUAACAACAAAAACACAACGGUAUUAAGGAAUCUGUUUCAGAAUUUCAGUGAGUUAAAUCUGUUAAAAAGUUCUGCGGUUAAUUUGUUUGUUUCUUUAACAAAAAACGUAAUCUAAUAUUUUAAUUAUUAUCAUCAGCUCAGCAGCAGUGUAGAAUAUAUUGGCCUAAAAUACUAGAUAUUUUAUGUUAAUAUAUUAAAUUCGAGUGACUUACGUCACCCAAGAUUUUGUACAUUUUCAAGCGAGCAUUGGACUGGGUGUUAAUUAUUUCUAUGCCGGUUUGCUGCAAGUAUUUGUUGUCAUUGAUCAAUUAGCUUCCUAGCUUUCAAGCGAACGGUCGUGUUUUUUUUUUGCGCUCCGAUUCCUAUUUUGUGUUUGUCAAACCAGCCAAGAUUUCAGAUUACCAUUUGGCUAUGAGGAUCAGACAGUUUUAGUUAACUACUCCUAAAAAAAUAUCAGAGGACAAUUAUCUGAGGAAUGAAUCGCUUUGAAGUAGUACACUUUGAAACUACAUUUAUUCAUUUUGUGUAGCUUGUCUGUGGGCUAAAAUAUAUUUCGGCUAAAAAGUAGGCAAUACUACUUUUAUCAGUUGACCCAAGACUUUGGUAUUUCACCAUUUGUUUUUUUUUCUUUUUUUAAAUAAUUUAUUAAACGAAAUUAUUUAACGGACUAGCGUACUAUUGCCCUUUUUAGACAACCUAAUCUAAUCGGUAUCAAUUUAAACGAUUCUUAAUAUCUAAGUUUUUU
rnacentral:lncRNA from 1 species